rnacentral:rRNA from 1 species
UGGGGAAUAUUGGACAAUGGGCGCAAGCCUGAUCCAGCCAUGCCGCGUGAGUGAUGAAGGCCCUAGGGUUGUAAAGCUCUUUCACCGGUGAAGAUAAUGACGGUAACCGGAGAAGAAGCCUCGGCUAACUUCGUGCCAGCAGCCGCGGUAAUACGAAGGGGGCUAGCGUUGUUCGGAUUUACUGGGCGUAAAGCGCACGUAGGCGGACUAUUAAGUUAGGAGUGAAAGCCCGGGGCUCAACCCGGGAACUGCCUUUGAUACUGGUAGUGUUGAGUUCGAGAGGGGUGAGUGGAAUUGCGGGUGUAGAGGUGAAAUUCAUAGAUACUCGGAGAGACACCAGUGGCGAAGGCGGCUCACUGGCUCGAAACUGACGCUGAGGUGCGAAAGCGUGGGGAGCAAACAGG